GUCCCCUUCGUCUAGUGGUCUAGGACGUUGCCCUUUCACGGCAGCAACAGGGGUUCAACUCCCCUAGGGGACGCUA
rnacentral:tRNA from 1 species